GUGAUUAUGAAUGGUUGCCUUCUGUGCUGGCUGCGGCAAGUGCACGUUGGUGACUUUCAUCCAACACCCUUGUGAACCUUUGGCCUCUUGCUAGCUUCGGCUGGCUGAGGAUUUACACAAACUCGCAUGUAUUGAGGACCCAUUUUGUGCGCAAGCACUAAUUAUAUA
rnacentral:misc_RNA from 1 species